GCUGGGCAUGGUGGCUCAUGCCUGUAAUCCUAGCAUUUUGGGAAGCUGAGGCAGGCAGAUCACUUGAGGUCAGGAGUUCGAGACCAGCCUGACCAACAUGGUGAAACCCUGUCUCUU
rnacentral:SRP_RNA from 1 species